UUCACUUUUAUUGAUUGUAUUGGUAAAUGUAAUUUUAAAUGCAGAUUUAUUAUCUACUUUUAUAUUUGUAAGAUUUAAUUUUUAUAAAUGUCAAAUUUCAGUGUCUCAACGUUUACUCCUAUAUCCUGAUGUUGAUUAGAAGUUUCAUAUAUUUUUGCAUCGUUUAAGAAUUUGAUUUUACUCAUUUGCCAUGGUCUUAUGACUUACAGUCUUUAUAUUAAAUAAUGCUGGUCAUCUGUAAUAUGAAA
rnacentral:lncRNA from 1 species